rnacentral:rRNA from 1 species
GACGAACUGUGCGAACGUUAUUCGGAAUCACUGGGCUUACAGGGUGCGUAGGCGGCUUGUUAAGUAGGGUGUGAAAUCCCCCGGCCCAACCGGGGAAUGGCGCUCUAAACUAGCAGGCUUGAGUGAGCUAGGGGUGCACGGAACUUCCAGUGGAGCGGUGAAAUGUGUUGAUAUUGGAAGGAACACCGGAGGCGAAAGCGGUGCACUGGGGCUUAACUGACGCUGAGGCACGAAAGCGUGGGGAGCAAGACGG